AUCUGUUGACCUGAAAGGGUUCCUUUUUGCUGUGCUUGACCAUUAUGGAGAGGUUCGUGGAGCUGUACAAAAUCAAGAGCGGCAUAGAAAGGCUAACUAGGCUCAUAAGAUGCUUCGGAGAUGAUAGCCCUACACAAAGGAAGAGGACAGAGGACCUCAUUUUCUAAAGGAAGAUCCCUCACACACUUUCAAGACUGUGAAGCCGACAGGUAUUGAAGACACGUUUUCUAAGAGGAUGAAAGUUGGCAUUGCGAUGGUGAAAGAAGAAGACAUCGAUGUGUUGGUUGUCCUUGAGGCAGCAGUAAUCCUGUCUAAUCUGAGGGAUGUCUCAAGUGCCAUUUCCAUGCUGAUGGGCCUUCUUUUUGCCCUCAACAUACACUAUCCAAAGGAACUUAAGGACAUCUUUGAAGUCAUUCAGAACAUCCUAAUGAACAUUGGUGGAAGGCAGUGCAUCUCACUAGUGCAUGGUCUAAGAAACAGACUCUUGCAGAAAGCCAUGCAGAACUGUAAUUGUAUGAUCCUUAGUGUUAAGGACAGUUUUUAUUUUACUGUUUGUUUUUUUAUUCUUGCAAGUUCUCAUUCUCACUUUUGUAUGUCACUAAAUGACUACACUUUACAUUCCAGAUUAGACAAUUACUCAUUUGUUCAUGGUUUAAGAAACUUAUGUGAACAACAAUAUAAUGCUGGACUCUGCAGAUGCUUAUCUCAUGCAAGUCAGUAGUUUUUCCUUUGUUUUGCAAUUGAGCAGACUCAAACUAAUGUUUCUGAAAUAUCCAUAUUAUCAAAUGUUUCAGAAGCAUGCACUCAUUUUCAGAGAUAUUGGUUCUGUGGAAUUUGUUGCAAUUGUAAACGAAGACAAAUACAAGAGUUUGAUGUCUUAGUUAUUAUAAACUGAUCUUUACUGUCACUUAUCAAAGGUUUUGUACUAUUUUAAUAUUUCACGUUUUAUGCUAACAGGUGUGACUGAGCACAAUGAAGUUUAAAAAUUUUGUAAAUGUAAAGAAUAACUUUUCUAAAAUAGCAAGUGUCCCGUUGAUACAUUACAUUAAUGCAGACUUUAUGUUGUUACUUCACAAGAAUCACUACUGCUCCUAGAGUAUUGGUCAGAAUUUCAUCUUCACCCAAACUGGGCUCAAGACCAAGUUCAAAUUUAUUGUUUCACAGGGAGCAGCCUUUGAGUUUUGAUGGAUUGUGAGCCUGAUGAGCUACGUCACUGAUUUUUCUGUUUCUCAGAUGACUAAGAUGGCACAAU